GUUCCCGGAUGUUGGUGUGGGGAGCGCCCGGGGCUGGCGAGUUCGUGGGGAAAGGUGUUGGUGGGGCUGCUCCAGGCAACCUCCGCAGUCAAAACGGCGGGUAGAGCCCUCAGUCAUGCCAUGGCCUUCUACAAUCGCCUGAUUCAGGGACACUUGUGACAAAAUUUGGCCCUUGUAACAAGCGUUUUCUCUAACAAUAACGUGGAGUUUUCACUUGGUUUUUUUUAUCCUAUGAGGAUCUGGUUUUUUGUUUCAUUUUUUUCUUGUCUGGUUUUGGUUUUGUAACGCCCUUGAAAAAUUCCUUUUCUUUUGGGCAACAUCAGGAAUCGUGGUCACAGGACAAGGGACUUCAAACUGAAAGAAAAUAGAUUUGGAUUAGGUUUGAACCCAUUGAUCCAUUUCAACCAAUAUUGAUAAAAGUAGUACACGUAUAGGAAGGAUUCUUCUAGGCAGCAUGAUAACAGAUGACCGUCUGUUUUUUACUCCAUUCUCAAGAAGACUUCAGUAUGAUUUUUAAACCCCUGUAAUAUUGAGAAGGGAAAAAAAACAACCCAAACCCCUCUUUAUCGUUGACAAAAAACUCAACAUGAGCCAACAGUGUGGGCUGGCAGCCCAAAAAGCCAGAGAUAUCCUGGACUGCAUCAAAAGGAAUGUGGACAGCAGGGCAAGGGAGGUGAUUCUGUCCCUGUACUCUCUGUUCUUGUGAGACCAUACCUGGAGUGCUGCAUCCAGCUCUGGUGCCUCCAAAGUAAGAAGAACAGUGUUGGAGCAGGGAAGGCCGUGAAGUAAUAAGGGGACUGGAAGAACUCCCCUAUGAAGACAGGCUGAGAAAAUUGGUGCUCUUUCCCAUUUUACACUGUAAGUUUUCAGUAAUUGCAGAGGUGACUUGUGAUUAUCAAUGAAGCUACAGCUUUGAAGCUGCACAAGUAAGAUAAUUUUUCCAUUUUUUUUUAAUGUAAAUGAAUAGUUGACUAGAUAUAAAUAAACCAAAUGCGUAAGUAGAUAUCACUUUAUGUUAAUAAACACAAGAAAAGUAUGCUUUGAAGAGGGAUUUAUUUAGAUUUCAGAAAAAUGCAUAUUUUAUCUGUGGUUGUGAUUAGAAUGACUGAUAUAAAGAAGUACGAAUAGAGCAUUAGCUCAGUUGCUCACAAGUCCUGGCAGCAGUUCAAGGCUACUUAGAAUAAGUCAAUUUCAUUGUCCCUGUCCAAGAAGAUAAAACUAAGCCACAGUAACUAUCAAGUUACUGUCUUUUCUUCUAGAUUUCUCAUGUUUCAGCAUAUGUAAGCAUAUUCAGCUUUCUGUUCAUUUAGUCCACGUUAGGGAUUAUUUUUAUACAAAAGAGGUAAAUAUCCCAUUUUGGGGGAGUGAGAUUGUAUGAAUGUUAAUGAAGUCUGUUGAAAUCUUAAUGUAAUAGAGGCAAUAGCACUACAACAGAGAGUGAGAGAAACACUCUAGAAAAAUGUUUGGUAACAAUUGAACCAGAGAUUUACAGCUUUUGAAAUUAUAAAAAAAUUCAGUAUAAUUAAAGGCAGACAUAGGGAGACAUGUUGACUUACACCACCUUUUUUUCCAACCCACUUUUAAUUGUUGAUACACAGCAAUUUCAUUAUGUCUGUAUGUUUCUUACUGUCUGGGUGCACAGUUUCAAUACACUCCAGAUGAGGAAUUUUCCUUUUGAUUUGGUAUAAGAAUGGGGGUUCUCUCUUCAAACACGUUGCUUCAGGUAUGAGAGUUAUUGUGCAGAAAUAAAGUAUUACAAAUAGAGAUCAGGGUUGCAAUUAUAAGACUCUUAUCUUUGGCCUUUUACUUACUGUUUCAGUCUGUUACUCCUUUAUCUUGUUACAAACAUGACUUCAAGCAUUGUACUCAACUGCAGUGAACUUUUCUGUGGGAAUAUUUUCAACAUUCAAGAACGGAAUGCAAAAUAUUCUCUGUCCUGUUUGCACCAUUUCAAUACUCCUAGCAAUCUGCGCAGCAAACUCAGCCUUGCUAUUUGCCUGGCUAUUAGACGGGACAGUCAAAUGUAAUCAAAUUCUUGUUCUCAAAUAAAUAUAUGAUCUAAUUUAAGGCAAACUGAGAUCUCGUGAUUGCAAGCACAUAGUUCAGGCAUGCUUAAACACUUCACUGCUCUACCCUCAAUGGGUACUGGAUAAGUCUCUGACAUUUUGCCUGGUUCUUAUAAGUCUGACUAAUAUAUACUAUAUAUAAAAAUAUAGUAGCCUAUAAUUUUAAGGUGUGUUUCCAUGUUUUGUAAGAUGUAAUCUUUAGUCUGCUCUAAUGCCUGUUGAAAAUGCUAUAUGGUUCUGUUUUAUUUUGCCGUAUGUACUAGGAUUCAAUUUCUUUUCUUUUUUUUUUUUUCUUUUUCCUCAGAUAUAAUAAUUACUCAUGCUUUAUCCCAUCUUGUUAUUACACGGUGUUUAUUUCUAUUCCAGACUGACCCCAUUCUCAAGAGAAUUUCUAUUCUUGGCAUCUAGGGUAUGAUGAUUCAGUUGCUGAAAUAAAAUACUCUUAUGUUCCA